rnacentral:tRNA from 1 species
GGAGAGAUGCUCGAGUGGCUGAAGAGGCACGCCUGGAAAGCGUGUAUACGCCAAAAGCGUAUCGGGGGUUCGAAUCCCCCUCCUUCCG